GACGAACGCUGGCGGCGUGCCUAAUACAUGCAAGUGGGACGCAAGGACACACACUGUGCUUGCAUACCGUGUUUUCUUGAGUCGCGAACGAGUGAGUAACGCGUAGGUAACCUGCCUAUUAGCGGUGGAUAACUAUUGGAAACGAUAGCUAAUACCGCAUAAUAUUAAUUAUUGCAUGAUAAUUGACGGAAAGAUGCAAGCGCAUCACUAGUAGAUGGCCCUGCGUUGUAUUAGCUAGUUGGUAAGGUAAGAGCUUACCAAGGCGACGAUACAUAGCCGACCUGGGAGGGUGGUCGGCCCAACUGGGACUUGGACACGGCCCAGACCCCUACAGGAAGGAACAGUAGGGGAACUUCGGGAAUGGGGGAAAGUCUGACCGAACAACGCCGCGUGAGUGAAGAAGGUUUUCGGGUCGUAAAGCCCUGUUGUAAGGCAAGAACGUGUGUGAGAGUGGAAAGUGCACACAGUGACGGUAGCUUACCAGAAAGGGACGGCUAACUACGUG
rnacentral:rRNA from 1 species